rnacentral:lncRNA from 1 species
CGCCGGGCAGCCGGGUGCCCGCGCGGGGAGCGUGCGAGUGUGAGCGUGCGUGAGUGACCGCGGUCGUGGUCGUGGCUGCCGCCGCCGCCACCCGGACCGCUCUAGGGGCCCGGCUGCUCCGCGCGUUCGCCUGGGGCUCACGGGGGCCCGGGGCGACCGCUGGUUGGCUCGCGCGCCGCCCUCGCCUCCAAUCCCGGGUGCCUGUCCUAAUUUCCUGAUCCAGGGAACCUGCCGCCGCAGCGGCUGUGCGCUCCCUACAGUCAUUACUGUACCCUCCCGGCAGCCUCCGGCAGAACACGCAGCAGCAGCAGCAGUUAGCGCUGAUGCAACUAUCGUUGCUGUUGCCACCGCCUCCCCACUGACGGGGCGUGCACCUGGGGGGUACUUGCAGUUUCCAGGGGCAACAAGCAUCUCUCUACCACCCUCUCCUGCGCCCCUGAGAGAGGCUGGCUCCAAGCUUGAUAUAGAAGACUAUCAUAUGAACCAGAAAGGGUAACUGAAACCAAAGAAAUGACUCCAGUAUCAAGCUAAAGACAUGCCUUAAAGGAUGAGGAGGAGCAGAAAUCUUACCAGCAAGGCAAGAAAGAAGCCGUACGUGAACAGGUGGUAGUAUGAGCAAUACUUAAUUCCCUGUUGUGAUUAUUAGCAAGUGAAGCUUGUGAAGUGCAUAGCCCCGACUAAAGAAUCUUCUGUUAUAAUUUUUCAAAGACUGUACAGUAGGUACACCAGCCAUACAAAUACUAGAAAUCAAGUGUUAUUUCUAAAGUAUCAUGCACUUUGGUGAUUAGCAGCUUGGGGAGCCAUCAGCUGAAUUUCUUGAAGAAACUUGCAGGGAGUCGGCCAUAACUCUAAGGCCUCUGCUUUAGGCCCAGAAGGAAAAGAAGCUUACAGGAGACAAUCAGUCUUACACUCUUCCAUGGUCACAAACAAGAGGUCCCUGGAUCUACAGGUCAUCUUGCCCCUGAAAUGGCCCUGGAAAGCUAUGGCUGAAGAAUGGAGGAAAAGAUGACUUUCUCUGUUUCUUCAGACCAGGCAUCAACUGGGAUGUUGGGAUGUUGAUAAAAGGACAUCUCAUCCUUUGUUUUCUGCCUAUGCUUUCACCAUACCCAUUCCCAUGUCUGGUCAUCACAGCAUCCUUCACAGCCCUUAGCUGAAUCAUGUUGAGUACAGGAUGGUGUGAAUAUCAUGGUUUGAAUGCAACCAUGGUCUGUCAGUGUGGCUUGUUUUUUGCAGCCCACUUAGACUUAAGCCCUCUUAAUUUCAAAAUUACGUUCAUAUGUGCCAAUAAAGUUGUCCCUACAUGAACUGAAAAA